GACGAACGCUGGCGGCGUGCCUAAUACAUGCAAGUAGAACGCUGAAGGAGGAGCUUGCUUCUCUGGAUGAGUUGCGAACGGGUGAGUAACGCGUAGGUAACCUGCCUGGUAGUGGGGGAUAACUAUUGGAAACGAUAGCUAAUACCGCAUAAUAGCAGUUGUUGCAUGAUAACUGUUUGAAAGGUGCAAUUGCACCGCUACCAGAUGGACCUGCGUUGUAUUAGCUAGUUGGUGGGGUAACGGCUCACCAAGGCGACGAUACAUAGCCGACCGGAGAGGGUGAUCAGCCACACUGGGACUGAGACACGGCCCAGACUCCUACGGGAGGCAGCAGGAGGGAAUCGUCGGCAAUGGACGGAAGUCUGACCGAGCAACGCCGCGUGAGUGAAGAAGGUUUUCGGAUCGUAAAGCUCUGUUGUAAGAGAAGAACGAGUGUGAGAGUGGAAAGUUCACACUGUGACGGUAUCUUACCAGAAAGGGACGGCUAACUACGUG
rnacentral:rRNA from 1 species